rnacentral:rRNA from 1 species
UACGUAGGGGGCAAGCGUUGUCCGGAUUUAUUGGGCGUAAAGAGCGUGUAGGCGGCUUUACAGGUCCGUUGUGAAAACUCGAGGCUCAACCUCGAGACGCCGGUGGAAACCGUAAGGCUAGAGUCCGGAAGAGGCAAGUGGAAUUCCUGGUGUAGCGGUGGAAUGCGCAGAUAUCAGGAGGAACACCCAUAGCGAAGGCAGCUUGCUGGGACGUUACUGACGCUAAGGCGCGAAAGCGUGGGGAGCGAACAGG